rnacentral:rRNA from 1 species
UGCGGAGGAUGCAAGCGUUAUCCGGAAUGAUUGGGCGUAAAGCGUCCGCAGGUGGCUAUGUAAGUCUGCUGUUAAAGAGUGAGGCUCAACCUCAUAAGAGCAGUGGAAACUACAUGGCUAGAGUGCGUUCGGGGCAGAGGGAAUUCCUGGUGUAGCGGUGAAAUGCGUAGAGAUCAGGAAGAACACCGGUGGCGAAAGCGCUCUGCUAGGCCGCAACUGACACUCAUGGACGAAAGCUAGGGGAGCGAAUGGG